rnacentral:piRNA from 1 species
GGCCAGAUGCUUAUGAUGUAAAGUUGUCUC